rnacentral:rRNA from 1 species
AUGCCUCAUACACCUCUGCGUGAGAUCAACGCCACUCCCACCCGCGGUUGCCCAGUAGUGUCAAAACGGUUCAGACGUGCAGUGACCCUGCACAGCCUGCAGCAAGCGAGUGAGGCGGGGGCGCGGUGCAGCGCCGCCUCCUCCCAUCCAGCUCGUCUCCCUCCCUCCCAAUCUCCUCCCUUGUCUCCCUCCCUCCCAAUCUCCUCCCUCCCAGUCUCUUUCCCGUCCAUGGACGGUGGUGGCAGCGCCAUGGAGCACGGCCGCACAACUUCGAUGUCGGGGCAAGUGGGCUCGGGCGUUGAACGGCUCCAUGGGAGCAGCAGCAUGCGGCGCAUCCAGUCGGGCUUGGGUAGUGCCCCGGCGCCAGACGCACGCGCUGGUUUCCGGCAAGCUGGACAUGGUGAGGGAAGUGCACCCUAUGUUAGUAGGGUGAGCAUCGAUGAAGCCAAAAGGAGGGAAAAUGUCAACCUCGACAAUGAAGAUAACAUUCUGAUGGGGAAUGGUUCAGCUCCAAGAGAGACAGCUUGGAAAGGGCUUGUAAGCAAUGACAUCUAUUAUAUUUGGAACCAUGGCCCGAAGUUUGGUGGGGGAUUUGAUUGUCGGUACUGCCCCCUAAUCACUAGAGGAGGAGGUGCAACCCGCUUUAGGGAGCACCUUGGAGGUAUACCAGGUGAUGUGAGGGAGUGCCCUAAUGUUCCAAGAAAUAUUCGUGCUGCAAUGAGGGAAUCCCGGGAUGACUCAAUGCGGAAGAAGAGGGAAAAGAAAAAUCGUAGAUUUCGUUUGGAAAGGGAUAUCAUGGAAGGGUUGUACCACGGAGAAGGGGUGAUAAAUAUUGAAGAUGAUGAGGAAGAGAUCCAGGCCGCACUUCGGGAGACACUAAGAGACAAGAAUGUCUCUUGCGCAGUUGAGAGGAGGCGUGGGAGUGGCAGUGGUGUUCGUGUGUGUCUUGGGAAACAGAGUAUCACAGCAUACUUUGACAAGGAAUUGUCGAGCAACAAAGUAUCAAUGCAGCCAAAGAUCAGCACUGCUUUGAAUGUUGAGUCAAAAGAUGUACUUGGCCAAGCUUGGGCAAAGUUUUUUCAUGCUAAUGACAUUGCUGGUCUGAAAGCAAAUUGUCCCUAUUUUCGUGCGGCUGUCAAGAUAACUCAAAACCUUGGCCCAGCUCCCGUUCCAACUGCCAAGGAGAUUGAUGGGAUAUAUUUGGACAAGAAUUAUGAAGAAGCUGAACUGCAGCCAUGUGCUGCCCACACUGUUAACCUCAUGCUUAAGGAUGUUGCUAAGUUUCGUGAGAUUGACGUGAUAGUUAAAAGUGCUAAGCAGAUCUGUAGAUUUUUCUACAAUCACAAUAACCUACAUGAUAGCAUGAAAAAGAACAUUGGUGGUGAACUCAUAAAACCGAAUGCGACCCGGUUUGGAAUGGUGUUCAUGUUCUUGGAGAGUUUCCAUUGUAAGAAAGAUGAGUUUUGGAAAUGGAUGGUGUCCGAUGAUUGGAAGGGAAGUACUUGGAACGGUGCUGCUGAUUAUGUGUUUGCUGAAGAGCUGCUAUCUAGUAAUAUGUGGUGGGCAGCUUUAGAGUGGGUUCUUGCUGUGCUAGAGCCACUCUAUAAAGCCCUUAGAUAUGCUGAUACACAAAAGAGAUGCACCCUAUCUGGAUUCAAGAAGAAUAUGAUGACAGCCAUACAAAAGUUGGAAAGUCAUCUUGGUGGUGGAUCACAAAUGUUUCAUAGAGUCAUGAGCAAGGUGUCCAAGAGGAUCGAUGCUAUGCAAGAAGGCACACUAUUGGUUGCAGCUACUGUCCUUGAUCCUUACACACAUUAUCAGAUCAACAUGAGCAAGAUUAUGGACUAUGCUCUUGCACUAACAGAUGCCAUUGAGAAGAUCGCACACCCUGAGACCGCUAUUUUGGCCAUUGAUGAAGUCAGCACUUACAGGGAAUGUCGUGGGAGGUUUGGCUCAAGGCUGGCACGUUCCUCUGCAGAGAAAAUGUCACCAACUGAGUGGUGGUUCCAAUUUGGAGGGGAAGUUCCUAAUCUGCAGAAGUGUGCCUUGAGGAUUGUAUCACAAUGCGUUUCGUCAAGUGGCUGUGAGAGAAAUUGGAGCGCUUUUGCUUUGGUCCACACCAAGCAAAGAAACCGUCUUCUAUAUGGCAAGCUGCACAAGCUUGUAUCUGUGCGCUACAACUUGAAGAUACAUGCUGAAGAAGAAGAAGACCCGGUGAGAGAGAAUGAUAAGCAGAAGGAAGUUGAUGCAUGUGCAAUGAUGAUGGAUACAACCAUGUUUGAUGCAACAAAUCCUAUGAUGGAAUGGUUGAAUGAGGAUGAGGAGCAUGCAAUCUUGGAUGGAGUUGAUGCUGCUAGUGUCGUAUUUGAGAAAAUACGUUUGCUUAACUCAAGUAGGAAAGUUUCUCGUCUUGCAAGGAAGGACAAUGGCAGGAAAAGAAAGAGGGUAGAGGAAGAAGAGGAUGACUACCAUGAUAGUGAGGAUGAUGAUGAAGAAAAUGAGGAGCUGGACCUGGAAAUUGAUGAUGAUGAUGAUAGCCAUGAUGAUGGUGCAAAUCAAUCUGAUGGAGGAGAUUCACCAAUGCAAGUUGAAAAGGAUUUAACAGGCCAAGUUGGAAACAAUGUUGAGGUAACAAGUGAUGGUAGUUUGGUGAACCGUAGAUCUGAACGGGUUAGGCAAGCAAAGAAGGUCAAGGAGGUCACCAGCCUUUACAAUUGA